rnacentral:rRNA from 1 species
UCGAGCGGACAGAUGGGAGCUUGCUCCCUGAUGUUAGCGGCGGACGGGUGAGUAACACGUGGGUAACCUGCCUGUAAGACUGGGAUAACUCCGGGAAACCGGGGCUAAUACCGGAUGGUUGUUUGAACCGCAUGGUUCAGACAUAAAAGGUGGCUUCGGCUACCACUUACAGAUGGACCCGCGGCGCAUUAGCUAGUUGGUGAGGUAACGGCUCACCAAGGCGACGAUGCGUAGCCGACCUGAGAGGGUGAUCGGCCACACUGGGACUGAGACACGGCCCAGACUCCUACGGGAGGCAGCAGUAGGGAAUCUUCCGCAAUGGACGAAAGUCUGACGGAGCAACGCCGCGUGAGUGAUGAAGGUUUUCGGAUCGUAAAGCUCUGUUGUUAGGGAAGAACAAGUGCCGUUCAAAUAGGGCGGCACCUUGACGGUACCUAACCAGAAAGCCACGGCUAACUACGUGCCAGCAGCCGCGGUAAUACGUAGGUGGCAAGCGUUGUCCGGAAUUAUUGGGCGUAAAGGGCUCGCAGGCGGUUUCUUAAGUCUGAUGUGAAAGCCCCCGGCUCAACCGGGGAGGGUCAUUGGAAACUGGGGAACUUGAGUGCAGAAGAGGAGAGUGGAAUUCCACGUGUAGCGGUGAAAUGCGUAGAGAUGUGGAGGAACACCAGUGGCGAAGGCGACUCUCUGGUCUGUAACUGACGCUGAGGAGCGAAAGCGUGGGGAGCGAAC